UCCGGUUGAUCCUGCCAGAGGUUACUGCUAUCGGAGUUCGAUUAAGCCAUGCGAGUCUAAAGGUUUCUUCGGAAACCUUGGCGGACUGCUCAGUAACACGUGGAUAACCUACCCUUGGGACUGGGAUAACCCCGGGAAACUGGGGAUAAUACCGGAUAGAUCAGGGAUGCUGGAAUGCACCUUGAUCCAAAGCUCCGGCGCCCAAGGAUGGGUCUGCGGCCUAUCAGGUAGUAGUGGGUGUAACGUACCUACUAGCCAACGACGGGUACGGGUUGUGAGAGCAAGAGCCCGGAGAUGGAUUCUGAGACACGAAUCCAGGCCCUACGGGGUGCAGCAGGCGCGAAAACUUUACAAUGUGCGAAAGCAUGAUAAGGGAACUCCGAGUGCCAGCAUCUAAUGUUGGCUGUCCUUGUGCCUAAAACGCACAAGGUAGCAAGGGCCGGGUAAGACCGGUGCCAGCCGCCGCGGUAACACCGGCGGCCCGAGUGGUAGCCGCUAUUAUUGGGUCUAAAGGGUCCGUAGCCGGUUCGAUAAGUCCUCUGGGAAAUCUGGUUGCUUAACAAUCAGACUGCCAAGGGAUACUGUCGAACUUGAGACCGGGAGAGGUAAGAGGUACUUCAGGGGUAGGAGUGAAAUCUUGUAAUCCCUGGGGGACCAUCUGUGGCGAAGGCGUCUUACCAGAACGGGUCUGACGGUGAGGGACGAAAGCUGGGGGCGCAAACCGGAUUAGAUACCCGGGUAGUCCCAGCCGUAAACGAUGCUCGCUAUGUGUCAGGUACGGUGUGACCGUAUCUGGUGCCGUAGGGAAGCCGUGAAGCGAGCCACCUGGGAAGUACGGUCGCAAGACUGAAACUUAAAGGAAUUGGCGGGGGAGCAC
rnacentral:rRNA from 1 species